GGCCGGGUAGCGCGCAUCGAUACAAGACCCGGGAGGGAAAAGGUGCGGGCCGAUUUGCCAGCGGUGUUCAAGUAUCCAUCCGCCCUCGG
rnacentral:ncRNA from 1 species